rnacentral:tRNA from 1 species
CAUCAGAUAGCUUAAAGUAAGCAAAAGCCUCUUAAGCUUAGAGAUGCUAGUCGACGCCUAGCUUUGAUGA